rnacentral:rRNA from 1 species
AACGAACGCUGGCGGCAUGCCUAACACAUGCAAGUCGAACGAGACCUUCGGGUCUAGUGGCGCACGGGUGCGUAACGCGUGGGAACCUGCCCUUAGGUUCGGAAUAACUCCCCGAAAGGGGUGCUAAUACCGGAUAAUGUCUUCGGACCAAAGAUUUAUCGCCUUUGGAUGGGCCCGCGUUGGAUUAGCUAGUUGGUAGGGUAAAAGCCUACCAAGGCGACGAUCCAUAGCUGGUCUGAGAGGAUGAUCAGCCACACUGGGACUGAGACACGGCCCAGACUCCUACGGGAGGCAGCAGUGGGGAAUAUUGGACAAUGGGCGGAAGCCUGAUGCAGCAAUGCCGCGUGAGUGAUGAAGGCAUUAGGGUUGUAAAGCUCUUUUACCCGGGAUGAUAAUGACAGUACCGGGAGAAUAAGCCCCGGCUAACUACGUG